GAGGAGAAAGUUGAAUUCCCUCCCCCUCUCUCCACGGGUAGCGCCACGUACUCUGGAUGGAGCAGCCCAGCAGCGCCACUAGAGGCGUUGCAGACACCGGACAGGAAGAAAAACAGCCCCAGCGGAUCACCUAGAGUCCCCCAACAGCAGGACAUUUCCCAGUUACAAAAAUACUGGCUUGGCCUUGUGAGAGGUUAAGGGCAGCAACAGUUUUAAGUAUUUCUGAACCUCGUCUCUAGGACAGAGCCCAUAACUCCUAAUAAGAACUCUGAACAGGCCUCCAAACUUCUUAUGGAGAAUUAGAGGAAAUGAUUUAGAAGUGUUUUAACAGUACUUUGCUCGUUAAAUAAUAGCUUAUACUAUUAUUUCAAUAUGAUAAUAAUGGAAAUAUUUUAAAAUAAUUUUAAAACUUUAUGGGGCUUUGCACACAUAAGAUUUUAUUGUUCUCUUAAUCACCAAAACAAAAUCUUAGUACCUCCAUCUUAAGGACAGUCCUUUGAUCUGUGAGUUUGGAGGAGCUAUAGAACUUUGCAUAUGUUAUUUCACUUAAAAUAUGCAUGUUCUGGCCCUAAAAACCAAGAAUGUAAAAUAGACUUCCAAGGAAAACUCAAUUACAGCUACAUUUUUGCCUGCCUCUGGGUAUAUGAGCUUCAAAGUCAAAAGAAAGUAAACAACAAUCUUUGGGAUCUGUAGUGAUCUAUAGAGAGACAAGGAGUUUCUGGACUUCCCUAACAGCCUGCCUGCCAGGACUAUACCCUGUUGUACUCUGUCUUAAGUAUAGUUCUAAAGAGCUGAAAGAAUGCAAAGGUCCAUAAAAGUACAAAUUAAGACAUAAGUCCUCAUCUUCGAUUGUCGAUGCCAGCCACAUUUUCCUACUGAGGAAAAUACUCAUGAAACAAAGUAAUUGGGGCACCUGCUCAGUCAGUCAAAGUGGCCAGCUUUGGCUCAGCUCAUGAUCUCAGUACCUGAGUUCAAACCUCAUAUGGGGCUCUCUGCUGUCAGCGCAGAGCCGGCUUUGGAUCCUCUGUCUCCCUCUCUCUGUCUCUGUCUCUGUCUCUAAACAUUCAAAAAGAAACGAAAUAGUGAAACAAAGUGCUUUUCAGGAGUAAAUUAAAUAAUACUUUGUAUUAUUUUCUAUUCCUUAGUAAGAUUUUGCAUCUGAUUGAUAGUCUCUAAACUUUAAUGACAUUAUAUAAGUAGCUUGGUGUAGAAGUACAAACCAGUAUAAAUGGAGAAAAGGCAAUUUAUCAUUGAAUAGACGUUUGCUAUCUGUAAGUAAAGAUCAACAUACAGAGAGCUAUACAUAUCUAAGCUUCCAACAACAGAUAGGAAUAAAUCCACUCAACAAUCAGAAAAUUCGAAGAUAGCACUCUAUUCACGCUUAGAAAAAAUAUUUAAAAACCAUUAUUUUGAAGUGGAUAGCAAACUAUAUAAUACUAGAACUGGUCCUAAUGUGAGCAUUUGGUAUUAUAUAAUUUCAUCCCCACUAAAAGAUCACUGGUGUAUAGAUAACAAAACUUGUACAUAAAAAUUAAGAAAUAAAACUUAGAUGAAUGCCUGGGUGGCUUGGUCGGUUAGGCGUCCGACUUCAGCUCAGGUUAUGAUCUCACAGUUCAUGGGUUCAAGCCCCACUUCAGGCUCUGUGCUGACAGCUCAGAGCCUGGAGCCUGCUUUGGAUUCUGUGUCUUCCUCUCUCUCUACCCCUCCCUUGCUCGCACUCAGUCUCUGUCUCUGUCUCUCUCUCUUAAAAAUAAACAUUAAAAAAAAAGAAAAGAAAAAACUUAGAAAAAAAUGUGAUAAUAAAUUCAGCACUUCAUGGUCCUUAUAAAUAUCAUCUUGGUCAAAAUUUUGUAUUUAGUUGGGGUGCCUGGGUGGCUCAGUCGGUUGGGCGUCCGACUUUGGCUCAGGACAUGAUCUUGCAGUCUGUGAGUUCAAGCCCCGCAUCGGUCUCUGUGCUGACAGCUCACAGCCUGAAGCCUGCUUUGGAUUCUGUCUCCCUUGCUCUCUGCCCCUCCCCCACUCAUGCUCUGUCUCUCUCUCUCUCUCUC